rnacentral:misc_RNA from 1 species
AUGUCUCCAGGUAAUGAAGGAUCUGUGGAGUUCCAGUUGAAUUGAUCGGUCAAAAUAAAGAUCCAAAAAAACAAUGCGUCUUCUGAUGAAAAUAAAGGCACAAAUAAACACAUAGCAUUACCAUGGGGCCAAUAGCCCAAAAGUCCAGUACCUCACUCAUAGCACUAGUAGGAGAGCAAGUAAAAAUAGCACUUUUCAAAAAGAGUCACCAGACAGCAAUAGGCUGUCCUCCAUAGUCUGAGUCAGACUAAAAGGGAACAUACCAAAAGACAUGGAUAUACUUUCAUUGUAAGUACUUUCAAAAGAUUUACAAUCCCUGAAUUUUUUAUACAUAACUGGCUGCAAACAGAGCUAAAUGACAAAAAAUGAUCCAUAUAACCAACCCUAAAUAGUUUGGGAUUAAGACUUAG